rnacentral:lncRNA from 1 species
UAUUAUUUUUUAUUUAAAAAUUUGUAGUAUUAAUUAUAUUUAAAUAUAGUUUUUUUAAAAUAAUUUAAUAAAAUUUAUCCAUGUAUCGCACGAGCCAACGUCAUAGUUUAAUUUAAAAAUUAAUAAGCUGACAUAUAAUCAAUCAUUUACCUUCUUUAUUUUUGUGGUAAUAUAUAUAAAAGUUGUUAAGUCACUUCGAAACUUUGACGCCAAAAUUGAGGAUAUCAUUGUAAUUUCAUAUUUUU